rnacentral:rRNA from 1 species
CUGCAGUCGAACGGUGAACACGGAGCUUGCUCUGUGGGAUCAGUGGCGAACGGGUGAGUAACACGUGAGCAACCUGCCCCUGACUCUGGGAUAAGCGCUGGAAACGGCGUCUAAUACUGGAUAUGUGACGUGACCGCAUGGUCUGCGUCUGGAAAGAAUUUCGGUUGGGGAUGGGCUCGCGGCCUAUCAGCUUGUUGGUGAGGUAAUGGCUCACCAAGGCGUCGACGGGUAGCCGGCCUGAGAGGGUGACCGGCCACACUGGGACUGAGACACGGCCCAGACUCCUACGGGAGGCAGCAGUGGGGAAUAUUGCACAAUGGGCGCAAGCCUGAUGCAGCAACGCCGCGUGAGGGACGACGGCCUUCGGGUUGUAAACCUCUUUUAGCAGGGAAGAAGCGAAAGUGACGGUACCUGCAGAAAAAGCGCCGGCUAACUACGUGCCAGCAGCCGCGGUAAUACGUAGGGCGCAAGCGUUAUCCGGAAUUAUUGGGCGUAAAGAGCUCGUAGGCGGUUUGUCGCGUCUGCUGUGAAAUCCGGAGGCUCAACCUCCGGCCUGCAGUGGGUACGGGCAGACUAGAGUGCGGUAGGGGAGAUUGGAAUUCCUGGUGUAGCGGUGGAAUGCGCAGAUAUCAGGAGGAACACCGAUGGCGAAGGCAGAUCUCUGGGCCGUAACUGACGCUGAGGAGCGAAAGGGUGGGGAGCAAACAGGCUUAGAUACCCUGGUAGUCCACCCCGUAACGUUGGGAACUAGUUGUGGGGUCCAUUCCACGGAUUCCGUGACGCAGCUAACGCAUUAAGUUCCCCGCCUGGGGAGUACGGCCGCAAGGCUAAAACUCAAAGGAAUUGACGGGGACCCGCACAAGCGGCGGAGCAUGCGGAUUAAUUCGAUG